CACGUAGGGCGCGAGCGUUGUCCGGAAUUAUUGGGCGUAAAGAGCUCGUAGGCGGCCUGUUGCGUCCGCUGUGAAAGCCCGGGGCUUAACCCCGGGUCGGCAGUGGAUACGGGCAGGCUAGAGGUAGGUAGGGGAGAAUGGAAUUCCCGGUGUAGCGGUGAAAUGCGCAGAUAUCGGGAGGAACACCGGUGGCGAAGGCGAGUCUCUGGACAUUUCCUGACGCUGAGGCACGAAAGCCAGGGGAGCAAACGGG
rnacentral:rRNA from 1 species